rnacentral:rRNA from 1 species
GUGUCAGCCGCCGCGGUAAUACGGAGGGUGCAAGCGUUAAUCGGAAUUACUGGGCGUAAAGCGCGCGUAGGUGGCUUGAUAAGCCGGUUGUGAAAGCCCCGGGCUCAACCUGGGAACGGCAUCCGGAACUGUCAGGCUAGAGUGCAGGAGAGGAAGGUAGAAUUCCCGGUGUAGCGGUGAAAUGCGUAGAGAUCGGGAGGAAUACCAGUGGCGAAGGCGGCCUUCUGGACUGACACUGACACUGAGGUGCGAAAGCGUGGGUAGCAAACAGGAUUAGAUACCCUGGUAGUCCACGCCGUAAACGAUGUCGACCAGCCGUUGGGUGCCUAGCGCACUUUGUGGCGAAGUUAACGCGAUAAGUCGACCGCCUGGGGAGUACGGCCGCAAGGUUAAAACUCAAAGAAAUUGACGG